rfam:Oryza brachyantha chromosome 6, whole genome shotgun sequence.
AAUAACCUUAUUUUUCGUUUUGCCGUGUCCAAUGUUUGACCAUUCGUCUUAUUUGAAAAAUUUGUAAAAAACUUAAAAAAAUUAGUCACGUAUAAAGUACAAAUCAUAUUUUAUCAUCUAAUAAUAAUAAAAAUAUUAAUCGCAAAAAAAUUUUAAAUAAAACAAAUGGUCAAACGUUGAACGGGAAAAAAC